rnacentral:rRNA from 1 species
UACGUAGGGGGCAAGCGUUAUCCGGAUUUACUGGGCAUAAAGGGCGCGUAGGUGGUGUUUUAAGUCAGGUGUUAAAGCCUCCAGCUCAACUGGAGUACGCACUUGAUACUGAAAUACUUGAGUACAGGAGAGGGAAGCGGAACCCAUGGUGUAGCGGUGAAAUGCGUAGAUAUCAUGGGGAACACCAGUUGCGAAGGCGGCUUCCUGGACUGUUACUGACACUGAGGCGCGAAAGCGUGGGGAGCAAACAGG